UUAAAAAUCUCAUGUCUUUGUAGACACCACUGUGGAGCCUGCCUCCUCCCAAGUAUGUAAGGAGAAGUGUGAUUUAAUUAUCAAGCCAGAGAAAAAGAAGGAACCUCAUGAAUGGUGGCAAUUUUCAUCUUUUAGGAGUGCUUUUUAGCCAGUCAUGGAGUCUUGAAGAUUGACCUGACAUCAUGACUCUUAAAUCCAUCUCCUUUCCUCCACCCUUGUCUUUAGUCUAUGAACCCAUGAAUUCUUCAUGUGGCAGGCAGAGUGAUCUCUCUAAAGGCCUGUGUAUCUGGUGAAUGCGCAUCUUCCAUCAAGACUCAGAUCAACUGGAUGCCUGCCUUCAGAUCCCAUGAUCCUGGGAUCAAGCCCUGCAUUGGGCUCCUUCGUAGGGGAGCCUGCUUCUCCCUCUGCCUAUGUCUCUGCCUCUCUUUCUAUGUCUUUCA